UACGAAGGGUGCUAGCGUUGUUCGGAAUCACUGGGCGUAAAGGGCGCGUAGGCGGCCGAUCAAGUCGGGGGUGAAAGCCUGUGGCUUAACCACAGAAUGGCCUUCGAUACUGUUUGGCUUGAGACCGGAAGAGGUUAGUGGAACUGCGAGUGUAGAGGUGAAAUUCGUAGAUAUUCGCAAGAACACCAGUGGCGAAGGCGGCUGACUGGUCCGGUUCUGACGCUGAGGCGCGAGAGCGUGGGGAGCAAACAGG
rnacentral:rRNA from 1 species